UACGUAGGGGGCAAGCGUUAUCCGGAUUUACUGGGUGUAAAGGGAGCGUAGACGGCAUUGCAAGUCCGGAGUGAAAGCCCACGGCCCAACCGUGGGACUGCUCUGGAAACUGUAGAGCUGGAGUGCGGGAGGGGCAGGCGGAAUUCCUAGUGUAGCGGUGAAAUGCGUAGAUAUUAGGAGGAACACCGGCGGCGAAGGCGGCAUACCGGCGCCCUACUGACGCUGAGGCACGAAAGCGUGGGUAUCGAACAGG
rnacentral:rRNA from 1 species